rnacentral:rRNA from 1 species
UACGGAGGAUGCGAGCGUUAUCCGGAUUUAUUGGGUUUAAAGGGUGCGUAGGCGGAUUUUUAAGUCAGCGGUAAAAUGUCCGGGCUCAACCCGGGCCGGCCGUUGAAACUGGGGAUCUUGAGUGGGCGAGAAGUAUGCGGAAUGCGUGGUGUAGCGGUGAAAUGCAUAGAUAUCACGCAGAACUCCGAUUGCGAAGGCAGCAUACCGGCGCCCGACUGACGCUGAGGCACGAAAGCGUGGGGAGCAAAUAGG